AAGUAGUCCAAUUCCUACCAUGAGAGGAAACCAAUAUCUUCUAUGUUUGAGAUCCGCAAAACGCAUUGCUGUUCUUCGGUUUGUUGAUGAUGCUACAGACCUCUUAAUUUCAUUUACUUCAUUGGUAAUAUCAGCCUCAAAGCCUCGAAGAACUUGCAACGAAGUUUCAAAAUCUUCUGUUAAACCCAUUUUCGCCAACCACCG
rnacentral:misc_RNA from 1 species